UGGAAGAUUAGCUUUCCUUUUUUGUAACUUCAGGCCUGUCACCGAGUAUAAUGAGAUUGCAAACCACUUUGUUGAUUGAAUAUACGUGCACUGCUACAAUACCAGGUUACGGAAGUUGCAAGAAAAUACCAGUACUUCAGUUAAUGUGCCAAACUCAGGUUUCAACACUCCUGUGAAGGGUUACCAGCCUUCCCUAUCAAAUCAGUUCUCUGGGCAAUACAUUGUUGAUAGAUUGAAGGGAGUUGAGAAAUUGAUUUUGGACUAUUUGCAGCAGCCAGCAUUGCUUGAAAGUGUGAAGGGGGC